rfam:Populus trichocarpa scaffold_3_contig_162, whole genome shotgun sequence.
UCUAGAACUCGAGAUAUGGGCUGAACACUAAAUAGUCUGGGCUGUAGGACAGAUUCUGACUUCUCCGUUGUUGCUACCAUUUGAACUAAAAAAUGGCACUUUUAAAUCUUAGACUCUUCAUGAAAGUUUUAGGCCUAUGUCUUAGCUUUCCAUA